CGCGGCGGGCAAUUGAAACGUUGGAGGAUGGCGGGGUUGAGGCUGCAGGCCGUCGGGGGCUCGCCCAGGUACAAAGAGCUCAUCCGCUCCAUGAAGGCAGUGAGGUGUGAAGACACCGUCGGGAGAGAAAGGAGCCAGUUUCUCUAACACCUGUUGCCAUCCUCAAGCUGUCACAACAAAUCCCAACAACAGGGUGCCGGGCACGUGCCCUGCCCCCUCCAGGCAUGAGCGCUCCGGGACAAGGUCCCCUCCUACCUGCGCGAGUGCGGGACCUCGCCAGUGCCGCCGACACGCUGGUGGUGCCCCUGAGCAGCCUGGCCCGCUGUACCCGCGCCUGCCACUCCCAGCAGCUCCUGAAGAUGUUCUGGACAGGUGGUGUCCCCGUGGGGAACGACCACCUUGGUGCUGACCGGUGGGCGGUCGGCGUAGGUGAGGCGCUGCUGGGGCCUGCUCUGGUUCCAGGACCCAUGUCUGCACAGAGGGGAGCUCAGGCCCCCUGUCCCGCAGGUGCCCGCAUGAAGCACCACGUCCUCGCCAGGCAGGCCCUGCGGAUGCUCCAUGAGGACCCGUCCCCAUGCACAGACAAGUGCUGGUGCCUGGCCCAUCCUCCACAUGCCACUCCCGCGUUGCUGGGCAGAUUGCGGCUCAGAAGGCCAGUGGGGGGCCCUGAAGGCCAUGGCCGCCGCUGAGCACCCGUGUCACAAGCACAUGUGAGGGCUCCCUGUGCACCACCUGGGGCGGUAGCCCUGUCCUGGAGCAGAGCAGCCUCCUGACCUCACAGGCCCCGCAGGUGCCCCCACCCUCCCUCCAGACGCUAAAGCUCUCCACUUGCCCAGGCAGGCCGUCUGGACACCAUGCUGCUCUCAGGGGCACCAGGGCCUGCAUGGGCUCUCCUCGUCUUCUCCAGAGCCUGUCCCAGCGCCCACCCUGCUCUCCACUGCAUUUGGCGGGACUUGCCUGGUAGCCGCCCCACCCUCUGGAGCCUGGUGGAGCACCCUGCCCCCGCCACCCCUCCCAGACCCCCACCCAUACAGCAUCAGGUGCACUGGCCACCUGCCCCAUCCUGUGACCGCCCGCUCCCCACACGUGGCCCCAUGGCCCCUGCUCGUCUCUGACACGUGCACUUCGUUGCAGAUGCUGCUGCAUGUGGCUAACGGCAUCCCGCAGGAGCUGAGGGCGCACAUGCUACCCUCCCUGCCCUCCAGCUUCUUCCACGGCGAGGAAAACUGGGUGCUGAAGCUGUUUCUAGAAGGCCUCUUGCACAAAACCGCCAUCCUCCUGGAUGUGGUGGGCAUGAUUAUGCAGGACCCAAGCAACCGACCAGGAGCCCGCCCUGCGUGAGUCCUGAUGCUCUCGGCCGCCAGCCGCGCAGUCACAGCGUGAGGCCACUCCUUGGCCCAGCUCCUGGUUCAGGCGACAGUCCUGGCCCCAGCAGGCAGGUCUGCGCCGGUCUCCUCUGAUAAAGCAGCAGAGAGCAAGCUGCUCCCAGAACCAGCAGACAGCUGGCCAUGCCUGCCCUGGCCGGCAUUGCUCCACCUCAUCAGAGGACGGUGUGUGCAGUCAGCUGCAAAGCCCAGAAUGCAAGGGGCCCUCCCUGCUCACAGACCCCCACCAGCGCCGCCUGGCUCUCAGAGGGGAUUCUCAGCAGUCACUGCCCAGAGCUGGGUGCCACUCCAUGUCAGGAGGAGGCUGGGAGCCCGGGUAGGGCCCUGCCUUUGCAUCUAUGGGCCGGAUGCCGGGGCCACGGCAUGCUGGGCAAGGAGACUCGGUCCCCGCCACAAGCAUCCGUCCCCCUCGCCACCCUUAAGGUGCAUAUGCCUUUAAAGAUGCAAACCAGUAGACUCAGUGGCGACACACCGGGCCCUCUGAGUGGCACAGGCCUUAUCAGGAGGGGACCCCGCAUAGCCUGUGGACACAGUGAGACCAGAGCCAGCCACGUGCUGGAAUGUUUCAUGCUUGUGCAGGUGGUAGGCCCUGGGCCCUGACUACAUGAGUGAGCUGCUGUGCCUGUCCCUGAGCUUCGAGGGUCCAGAAACGCAGCCCUUCAGCCUCUUCCUGUCCCACGUGGUGGCAGAAACCUGAGUGGUGUCCCUGGGCAAAGUCGCUCAACCUUCAUUGUCUCUAAAACCUUCAGGAGGCCGCACCUCGGCCACAAACCACCUGUAGCUGAGCAGAUUCGUGUCUGUCGUUUCCCUGGGAAGACACUGGAAUGCCCAGGUGCGGCUGGAGCCCCGACAGCUGUCAGGAUGCACCACGUUAACCAAGGCCGGUUCCCCAAGACCAGGGCCGUCCGCCCACGACACCCCUGGAGUCAUUCUUUGUGUUUUUGCACACAUGAGUCUAAGAGCCUAAAUUAUUUUUGGAAAUCAUUUUCAAACUUUCAAAGAUUAUGUAAAAGCUAUCUGGUUUUUUGAGCAAUGUUUAACUGAGUGAAGUAAAAAGUUUCUUUGGUAUUUUUUCAGUGCCCAUGUUCACCUCUGCUGGUUUUGAUUCCAGGGAUGGGGAACAAGUCGGUACGUCCCCCUGCAGCCACCAGGCCCAUUUGUUGUCACUGUGCCUCAGGGCGGGGGUGGCAUGCAGCCUCUUGUUGCCCCAAGGGUCC
ensembl:lncRNA